UUAAUUGGACAAUAUUUCCUCACAUAUAUAGUUUAUUUUUAUAAUCUAUUUUUUUUAUUAUUUUAAUUUAUGUUUGAGUGUUAUUUUUAUCUACUUAUUUUCAGCUUGAAUAAAAUUCACAUAGGAGAUGAGCCGGUGCAUGAUUAAAGAGAAAGCAAAGUUGAGCUGGAAGAAAGAAGAGAAAUGAAAGCAAGGAGCUGAUGGAAACGUGGGUAAAAGAAAAAAAAAAAAAGCAAAAGAACACUGUCAACAUUUACGGAAUUGAAGAUAGGCGUGAUUGAAGGAGCUUCAACCAAUACCAAUGGUGCUGUUUUAAAGUAUUAAUCUAUAUAUAUAUAAUGCUGUGACAAAGAGAUAAAAAAGGAAAAGGACACAAGGAGCACAUGGGAAGUGGGGAGAGAGAGAGGGAGGAAUCGGUGAGUUAGAUAGAUAUUGAAGUGUGUUAGUCAAGAGAAGUGGGGGAAGACACGGAAAGAAGGAGAGAAAAAGUGAGUAGAGAGGGAGAGUAAUGAGUGGAAGUUAGCUGAACGUGGGCCCUCAUUAAAGAAAAGAAACUUGUUUGGAAGCAGCAGGCAGCACGAUGGACGGAAGAGAGGGGCGGCUGAGGGGAGGCAGCAGGCGGCUUGCUGGGGGACUUCCCCUCGAGCUGGUGAGAAGCUCUGAGUUGUCGGGGGGCUUUUCCAGGUUCUAGCUGGAGUGAGACCAGCUGGGGGGAGAGGAGGUUACGUGGGGAACGUUGGAGUGAAGGGAAGUCUGUGGGGAUUGAAUAUUUUUCCAGGGGUUUGGGCGGAAGAGAGCUGGAGUGAGACCAGCUACUCUUAAGGAACUCGGUCGGUUGAUGUGGGUGAUUUAUUGAGUGUUUCCAGAAAUAGAGAGGGGGUACGUAGGAGAUGAACUUCAAGAGAAGGGAGCUGGAAGGAGAAUAAAAAGAGAGGAAUUCGGACUGGUCUUUAGGGGAGUUUUCUUUGUAAUUCAAUUUCCUGUUUUAUGAUCUAAUUUUCAUUUUAGCUUGAGUUUUAUUUUAAUA